CACAGAAAAUAAUCCAACAAAUGACCAAAAUCACAACCCACCACAUGUGAAAACCAUCUUCCAAACUCUCCAAAGAUCUUUAGGUCAUAUUGCAGAGGAGAAGAGGGAUAAAGAAUCCUCUCUCUUCAACAGGGAUGUAAGUGAUGAGCAGUUAACAGCUGUAAAUAAAGGAACACUUCAAGAAGCAAUCAGUCCAGAUGUUCCAAGCAGGAGUAUGCCACGCGCGCAGCUUCUGCACUUUCUGCAGAGGGACAUCAGCAUCGCCGCUGUCUCGGUGGCAGGAAUCCUCACGGCCACAGUGUUGCUGCUGCUGGCGUUGGUCACGGACAUCAGGAAGAAACAGCCGUUAUCUCCUCCAGCAAACAUGGCAUACAAUAUUUUUAUAAUGAAUGGAAAGACUUGGUGGCAAAAGUCUCAAGAAAAGAAGACCAGAAAACAUGCAGGAAAACAGGAACAGGUGAAGUUACAUUCCAGUGUCUAAGCCAGGUGAUGGGGCCAGCCAACCAGCACCCAAAGCCGUGAUGCGAGGCGAUUCUCCAUCCAGACUCGGUGGAGAGGCAGUUGGAUUUCUGGCUGUGAGGUGCACCCU